GGAAAGGCGGGUGCUAUACAUGCAAGUCGAGCGAAUGGAUUAAGAGCUUGCUCAUAUGAAGUUAGCGGCGGAGGCGUGAGUAACACGUGGGUAACCUGCCCAUAAGACUGGGAUCCUUCCGGGAAACCGGGGCUAAUACCGGAUAACAUUUUGAACCACGUGGUUCGAAAUUGAAAGGCGGAUCCGGCUGUCACUGGAUGGACCCGCGUCGCAUUAGCUAGUUGGCGAGGUAACGGC
rnacentral:rRNA from 1 species